rnacentral:lncRNA from 1 species
GUCUAAUCGUUGCACAGGUGACUGCUGAGAAGCAACAGCAUUCCAAUCAAACAGGUCUGGUCUGUGACUGUGAAGGAGUGCAUUGAAAGCCAAUCCAUCAGACCAGCUACUGGUGAAAUUGAUAACAUUGACCUGUGGGUAAUUACGAGUUGAUUGACGGACCCAGCUCAGCAGAAUCUUCUCACUGUUUGUCUGCUGCAGUCCAGCCAUAAUGUUUUUC